rnacentral:rRNA from 1 species
UGGGGAAUUUUGACAAUGGGCGCAAGCCUGAUCCAGCAAUGCCGCGUGCAGGAUGAAGGCCUUCGGGUUGUAAACUGCUUUUGUACGGAGCGAAGAGGUCUGCCCAAAUACGGUGGGCUCAUGACGGUACCGUAAGAAUAAGCACCGGCUAACUACGUGCCAGCAGCCGCGGUAAUACGUAGGGUGCGAGCGUUAAUCGGAAUUACUGGGCGUAAAGCGUGCGCAGGCGGUUAUGCAAGACAGAGGUGAAAUCCCCGGGCUCAACCUGGGAACUGCCUUUGUGACUGCAUAGCUAGAGUACGGUAGAGGGGGAUGGAAUUCCGCGUGUAGCAGUGAAAUGCGUAGAUAUGCGGAGGAACACCGAUGGCGAAGGCAAUCCCCUGGACCUGUACUGACGCUCAUGCACGAAAGCGUGGGGAGCAAACA